rnacentral:rRNA from 1 species
CCUACGGGUGGCAGCAGUGGGGAAUAUUGCGCAAUGGGCGCAAGCCUGAUGCAGCAACGCCGCGUGAGUGAAGAAGGCCUUCGGGUUGUAAAGCCCUUUUAAGAGGGAAGAGCCGAAGAGGGUCCUUCUUGAAUAACCCCCGGCUAAUUACGUGCCAGCAGCCCGGGUAAUACGUAGGUGGCAGGCGUUGUCCGGAUUUACUGGGUGUAAAGGGCGUGCAGCCGGGAAGACAAGUCAGAUGUGAAACCCCGCGGCUCAACCGCGGAACUGCCUUUGAAACUGGUUUGCUUGAGUGCCGGAGAGGUCAGCGGAAUUCCUGGUGUAGCGGUGAAAUGCUUAGAUAUCACGAAGAACACCGAUGGCGAAGGCAGCUUACUAGACUGCCACUGACGUUGAGGCUCGAAAGCGUGGGUAGCAAACAGGAUUAGAUACCCGGGUAGUC